rnacentral:rRNA from 1 species
GACGUAGGGCGUGAGCGUUGUCCGGAUUUAUUGGGCGUAAAGAGCUCGUAGGCGGCUUGUCGCGUCGUCCGUGAAAACCCAUGGCUCAACUGUGGGCUUGCGGUCGAUACGGGCAGGCUGGAGUUCGGUAGGGGAGACUGGAAUUCCUGGUGUAGCGGUGAAAUGCGCAGAUAUCAGGAGGAACACCGGUGGCGAAGGCGGAUCUCUGGGCCGAUACUGACGCUGAGGAGCGAAAGCGUGGGGAGCGAACAGG